rnacentral:lncRNA from 1 species
AUCAAUUUGGUUAUUCUGGGUUUGUGUGAAGGGGUUUGUGGGAUUUAUCUUCAUGUAAAAAAUUCCUGAAGAGCAAAGAAUAUCCUGUUAUCCUUAUUUUAAAUCUCCACAGAUGCCCCCACCUCACCCUGCUCCUAAAAUUACACGACUGCAAGACUGCCUGUGCAUGCAGCCUGGGUGAUGGGCAAAAAGGGCUGUGGAGUAAAACAGUUAUAUCAAGCUUUUUGCUGCUGCUGCUAAGUCUCUUCAGUCAUGUCUGACCCUGUGUGACCCCAUGGACAGCAGCCCACCAGGCCCUCCCGUCCCUGGGAUUCUCCAGGCAAGAACNNNNNNNNNNNNNNNNNNNNNNNNNNNNCUCCAAUGCAUGAAAGUGAAAAGUGAAAGUGAAUUCACUCAGUUGUGUCUAACUCUUAGCGACCCCAUGGACUGCAGCCUGCCAGGGUCCUCCUCCCAUGGGAUUUUCGAGGCAAGAGUACUGGAGUGGGCUGCCACCUUCACAAGCUUUUUAGUGGACUUUAAAUUGUUAAACUCUCUGUAGUAACAUUUUUAGGUAUAUUUAGUACUUGAUGUAUAUUUAUUCUUUGAAUUCUCUUCAUAUCAAUAAUAUUAAGCAAUUAGCAGACUUCUAGUUAUUAUUUCUGUCUAUCCUUCUGUCAGUUAAUCAGUUAAGGAAGCUCUUUCAACAAUUCGCUGAUGUGUGAUUGACUCACGAGGUCAUUUCAAUCUGUGGAGAUGUGAAUCUACUGUGACACAGACUACACGGCAUAUCUGUCAGUUAAGUUUUGGAUUGAGAGGAGAGAGGCACUUGGUUGUUAAUUAUGUGAUGUAUGCUUAGGCAAUUAUUUACCCAAUAUUAAAAUAAACUUUGACUUUCUACAAGAUGAACUCUUCAGAGAUAUAAACUGACACAGACAUGUUGUAAAUAUUUAUGAAAUUGCCUGUGUUUCAAUUCAGACACCUUUUCUUAAUAAAUGGCGAAAGAAUGAACAAGUGUACAUUCUUUAAAUUCUGCCAUAGAUGUUCAAACCAAGAGAGAAAGAUCCAUAUGCCCACCAAGGAGAAGAGGGUGGAGGCAAGAAAGCAUCACCAGGAGCAGGGGGCACUGGAGAUGGACAGUUGCAGGCUCUUCCAGGUUGAACAGGACUAUGAACACAGCCCUUGGAAGCACUGGUUUUGCUCUCACAUUUUAUUUGUUGAUUUCCACUGAGAUUUGCUGGGAGCCAGCAUGAGGAACUCUGCCCGUGGCGAAAGUCAUGAGGAAGGAGGCGCGGCAUACGCAAAGGCGGGAUCGAGCCUCAGGAGACCCCCUGUUGC